rnacentral:lncRNA from 1 species
AAAGCCAGAUUACUGUUGCACCUGUGUUGCAGGGCCGGCAGGUGGCGGUAGCGCGACACACGUGACAAACUCUAAACCGCCGAACUAGAUCAAAACAGCAGCUGCUCGGAGUUAGCCUGAGUUAGCCAUUCGCGCUAACACGCCGCUCUUUCCUCCUUCGUUUCUCAGUGUAAUGUGAGUUAUUCUCGACUCAAAAGCCAUGUCUCGUCUGGAAAGGCUUCGCUCGUUGGUGAACCAGCGCAUUAACGCGGCUGCGGACGACAUCGGGCGGAUGCUGGAGGGAAAGAUCGCGGAGUACGAGGAGGAGGUGCGCUUCUUCCGAGAGGAAAACAACAGCCUGCAACAGAAGCUGCUGCAGUUCGCCGCUAAACCAGACGUCCAGGUCGUGGUGCUGAGUGAAGACGAAAGCGGCUCCAGCGACGACCAAGAAGAAUCUCCUCCAGACGAUUCUGAUCCAGACUCUGCGCCGGCUCCCGACCGAGAACCAGAGCGAACCACGAGCAGCUCAAAGACUGACGGGAAAGACACUGAAAGUCCCGGCUCGAGUUCAGCUACGGACGAGGAAAGCGACGAACAGCAGAGCAGAAAGAAGUCAAAAAGGAGAGCUCCUCCAACACACGCGUCAAAGGCCAAGAAAAGCAAAAACUAAUAAACUAAAGAAAGAGAAGAAAGUUUUAUACAUCGGUCAGUCAGGUUUUCCACACCUGCUCUAUGGGAGACAUUUUGUUUCUAGUUUUUGUUUGUUUGGUAAAUACGUUAAAGCCUGAUGGUUGAUUCUGCUUCAUAGACUUGUUUUUCCAUCUCAAGGAUCAGAAUUGGAAUUGGAGCUUUGGUUGCAAACGUGUGACUUUGUAAACGAGGGCAUUAACAGUUUAAGUUUUCUUAUUUACAUUCUUCUCCACAUCUGUUUCCUCUGUGCUUUUGUCAUCUAAACACAUAGAGCUCCUGAUAAAAGGUUGUUAAAGGUAAUUGUUUUCUGUUAGUUUUAGGAGUAUGUUAAAAUUUCAAGUUCUCUGAAUAUUUCUGUUUCCAUGCACAGUGUUGUUCUUUCCUACAGUAUUUGUUCUGUUUUGUUAAAAUAAAGUCUGAAAAACACUUGCUCUGUCCUCACUUUGUCUUCCUUCUAAAUGCGGCGAUCGGAUUUACAUGAAUGUCUGUCCCAGUUUACUUUGGAUUUGCAUUUUAAGGAACAUUUAGGAUCUACAAGGUCAAAGAGACGCUAAGUUUGUGUCAUAUAAAUCACAUCGAGUCCAUGUUAAUGCCUUUUGACUUCUCUGUGCUUUACUCUGACAAACUGCACCUUAAGGUUUUUACAAAUGCCACUACUAUAAGAAUAAAAAUCUGUGGGCUUGUUAUGUGGGCUUGUAUCAAAAAUGAGCAUAAAGCUGAUUUCCUGAUGCUCUAAUUGGAGAUGUUGACAAUUUAC